rnacentral:rRNA from 1 species
GAUGAACGCUGGCGGCGUGCCUAAUACAUGCAAGUCGAGCGAACGGACGAGAAGCUUGCUUCUCUGAUGUUAGCGGCGGACGGGUGAGUAACACGUGGAUAACCUACCUGCAAGACUGGGAUAACUUCGGGAAACCGGAGCUAAUACCGGAUAAUAUUUUGAACCGCAUGGUUCAAAAGUGAAAGACGGUCUUGCUGUCACUUAUAGAUGGAUCCGCGCUGCAUUAGCUAGUUGGUAAGGUAACGGCUUACCAAGGCAACGAUGCAUAGCCGACCUGAGAGGGUGAUCGGCCACACUGGAACUGAGACACGGUCCAGACUCCUACGGGAGGCAGCAGUAGGGAAUCUUCCGCAAUGGGCGAAAGCCUGACGGAGCAACGCCGCGUGAGUGAUGAAGGUCUUCGGAUCGUAAAACUCUGUUAUUAGGGAAGAACAUAUGUGUAAGUAACUGUGCACAUCUUGACGGUACCUAAUCAGAAAGCCACGGCUAACUACGUGCCAGCAGCCGCGGUAAUACGUAGGUGGCAAGCGUUAUCCGGAAUUAUUGGGCGUAAAGCGCGCGUAGGCGGUUUUUUAAGUCUGAUGUGAAAGCCCACGGCUCAACCGUGGAGGGUCAUUGGAAACUGGAAAACUUGAGUGCAGAAGAGGAAAGUGGAAUUCCAUGUGUAGCGGUGAAAUGCGCAGAGAUAUGGAGGAACACCAGUGGCGAAGGCGACUUUCUGGUCUGUAACUGACGCUGAUGUGCGAAAGCGUGGGGAUCAAACAGGAUUAGAUACCCUGGUAGUCCACGCCGUAAACGAUGAGUGCUAAGUGUUAGGGGGUUUCCGCCCCUUAGUGCUGCAGCUAACGCAUUAAGCACUCCGCCUGGGGAGUACGACCGCAAGGUUGAAACUCAAAGGAAUUGACGGGGACCCGCACAAGCGGUGGAGCAUGUGGUUUAAUUCGAAGCAACGCGAAGAACCUUACCAAAUCUUGACAUCCUUUGACAACUCUAGAGAUAGAGCCUUCCCCUUCGGGGGACAAAGUGACAGGUGGUGCAUGGUUGUCGUCAGCUCGUGUCGUGAGAUGUUGGGUUAAGUCCCGCAACGAGCGCAACCCUUAAGCUUAGUUGCCAUCAUUAAGUUGGGCACUCUAAGUAGACUGCCGGCGACAAACCGGAGGAAGGUGGGGAUGACGUCAAAUCAUCAUGCCCCUUAUGAUUUGGGCUACACACGUGCUACAAUGGACAAUACAAAGGGCAGCGAAACCGCGAGGUCAAGCAAAUCCCAUAAAGUUGUUCUCAGUUCGGAUUGUAGUCUGCAACUCGACUACAUGAAGCUGGAAUCGCUAGUAAUCGUAGAUCAGCAUGCUACGGUGAAUACGUUCCCGGGUCU